rnacentral:lncRNA from 1 species
GGCUCUGUGGGUCAGAUGUGGGUCUCAGUGGGUCUCUAUGGGUCGCAGUGGGUCAGAUGUGGGUCUCAGUGGGUCCCUGUGGGUCUCAGUGGGUCUCAGAGGGUCUCUAUGGGUC